rnacentral:rRNA from 1 species
UACGUAGGGUGCGAGCGUUGUCCGGAAUUAUUGGGCGUAAAGAGCUCGUAGGCGGUGUGUCGCGUCGGCCGUGAAAACCUGGGGCUUAACUCUGGGCGUGCGGUCGAUACGGGCAUCACUUGAGUUCGGCAGGGGAGGCUGGAAUUCCUGGUGUAGCGGUGAAAUGCGCAGAUAUCAGGAGGAACACCGGUGGCGAAGGCGGGUCUCUGGGCCGGUACCGACGCUGAGGAGCGAAAGCGUGGGGAGCGAACAGG